rnacentral:misc_RNA from 1 species
UACGUAGGUCCCAAGCGUUGUCCGGAAUUACUGGGCGUAAAGAGUUGCGUAGGUGGUUUAUUAAGCAGAAAGUGAAAUCACACGGCUCAACCGUGUAAACAUAGUCUGAACUGAUUAACUAGAGGGCGAGAGAGGUAAUUAGAAUUUCGUGUGUAGGAGUGAAAUCCGUAGAUAUACGAAGGAAUACCGAUGGCGUAGGCAGAUUACUGGCUCGCACCUGACACUAAGGCACGAAAGCAUGGGUAGCAAACGGG